GAAAACCCAGGGCUCGGUGGCAGUCUUGACAGUGGGCCCAUGGUCGAGGUUCCAGCUACAACUGUUCCUACAACAACAAAUUGGAGAAGAAUCCGUCCGAGAAGAAAGACGACAGUUGCCACAACACCCACUACUACAAUUCCCACAACAGAGGCUCCGACAACUACUGAAGAGACAACAG